rnacentral:rRNA from 1 species
UGGGGAAUAUUGCACAAUGGGCGAAAGCCUGAUGCAGCAACGCCGCGUGCGGGAAGAAGGCCUUAGGGUUGUAAACCGCUUUCAGCAGGGAAGAAACUGACGGUACCUGCAGAAGAAGGUGCGGCCAACUACGUGCCAGCAGCCGCGGUGACACGUAGGCACCAAGCGUUGUCCGGAUUUAUUGGGCGUAAAGAGCUCGUAGGCGGUUCAGUAAGUCGGGUGUGAAAACUCUGGGCUCAACCCAGAGACGCCACCCGAUACUGCUGUGACUUGAGUACGGUAGGGGAGUGGGGAAUUCCUGGUGUAGCGGUGAAAUGCGCAGAUAUCAGGAGGAACACCAGUGGCGAAGGCGCCACUCUGGGCCGUAACUGACGCUGAGGAGCGAAAGCGUGGGUAGCAAACAGGAUUAGAUACCCUGGUAGUCCACGCCGUAAACGUUGGGCACUAGGUGUGGGUCUCAACCAACGAGAUCCGCGCCGUCGCUAACGCAUUAAGUGCCCC